GGUUAAGCGACUAAGCGUACACGGUGGAUGCCCUGGCAGUCAGAGGCGAUGAAGGACGUGCUAAUCUGCGAUAAGCGUCGGUGAGGUGAUAUGAACCGUUAUAACCGGCGAUUUCCGAAUGGGGAAACCCAGUGUGUUUCGACACACUAUCAUUAACUGAAUCCAUAGGUUAAUGAGGCGAACCGGGGGAACUGAAACAUCUAAGUACCCCGAGGAAAAGAAAUCAACCGAGAUUCCCCCAGUAGCGGCGAGCGAACGGGGAGGAGCCCAGAGCCUGAAUCAGUGUGUGUGUUAGUGGAAGCGUCUGGAAAGGCGCGCGAUACAGGGUGACAGCCCCGUACACAAAAAUGCACAUAUUGUGAGCUCGAUGAGUAGGGCGGGACACGUGGUAUCCUGUCUGAAUAUGGGGGGACCAUCCUCCAAGGCUAAAUACUCCUGACUGACCGAUAGUGAACCAGUACCGUGAGGGAAAGGCGAAAAGAACCCCGGCGAGGGGAGUGAAAAAGAACCUGAAACCGUGUACGUACAAGCAGUGGGAGCCUCUUAAUGGGGUGACUGCGUACCUUUUGUAUAAUGGGUCAGCGACUUAUAUUCUGUAGCAAGGUUAACCGAAUAGGGGAGCCGAAGGGAAACCGAGUCUUAACUGGGCGUUAAGUUGCAGGGUAUAGACCCGAAACCCGGUGAUCUAGCCAUGGGCAGGUUGAAGGUUGGGUAACACUAACUGGAGGACCGAACCGACUAAUGUUGAAAAAUUAGCGGAUGACUUGUGGCUGGGGGUGAAAGGCCAAUCAAACCGGGAGAUAGCUGGUUCUCCCCGAAAGCUAUUUAGGUAGCGCCUCGUGAAUUCAUCUCCGGGGGUAGAGCACUGUUUCGGCAAGGGGGUCAUCCCGACUUACCAACCCGAUGCAAACUGCGAAUACCGGAGAAUGUUAUCACGGGAGACACACGGCGGGUGCUAACGUCCGUCGUGAAGAGGGAAACAACCCAGACCGCCAGCUAAGGUCCCAAAGUCAUGGUUAAGUGGGAAACGAUGUGGGAAGGCCCAGACAGCCAGGAUGUUGGCUUAGAAGCAGCCAUCAUUUAAAGAAAGCGUAAUAGCUCACUGGUCGAGUCGGCCUGCGCGGAAGAUGUAACGGGGCUAAACCAUGCACCGAAGCUGCGGCAGCGACACUAUGUGUUGUUG
rnacentral:rRNA from 1 species